AUUCAGAUUCAAACACUGGAGCGGAGGGAGUUGCCAUGGAAACGGGGCGAUCGACAACACUGGCCAGCUGCAUGCUCCGUGUCUCCCUGCUGUUUUCACUGAUUUUGAAAUGGUUUAGUGUUUUCGAACAAGUCCGUUAGAAUCUUAACUGUUAUCAGAGGAGAUUCUUCUAGUGCUGGAUGGCCUUCUGCAUCCCAGAGUCUGAGCCAGCCUCCUGUCCAACAACAUCUCCAAGGCACACUGAACCAUAUGACUAGCAGGUUAACCCCAAACAUACACUAAUGCUAUCCAUACCAAUUUCUGAAAUAAUAUUACAAUAUAAAAUAGCAGUUUUCUUUGAAAUGUAAUUUAUUUCUGUGAUGUGCAGCUGUAUUUUCAUCAUCAUUACUCCAGUCUUCAGUGUUACAUGAUCUUCAGAAAUCAGAAUAAUAUAAUAAUUUACUGCUCAAAAACAUUUCUGAUUAUCAUCAAUGUUGAAAACAGUUGUGCUGCUCAAUAUAUGAAUGUGUUAGAAUUCUUUGAUAAAUAGAAAUUUCUUCUUGACACUCACUUUUGAUUAAUUUCAUGCGUCCUUGCUGAAUAAAAAUAUGAAUUUCUUUUUAAAAAUGUAGUGUACAUUACCAUUUAAUGGUUUGGGGUCUAAAUAACAAUGAAGCUUUAAAAUAAAUAAAUGAACUCUAUGAUGUUAUAAACUGUUUACACAAAAAUAUAAAACAGAGCUGUUUUUUAACAUUCAUAUUUAUCAGAAGUGUUUCUUUGGCAAAAAGUAGCAUAUUAUAAUGAUUUCUGGAGGAUCAUAUGACACUAAAGACUGAAGUAAUGAUGCUGAAAAAUCAGCUUUGAUCAUAGCAAUCAAUUGACCCUUCGCAAAACAACCCACCCUUCUUAAAUACUGUUGCUAUGUCUGACAAGCCAUGCUGCUCUCACAGUACACACCUUGUUCUCACACAGCAAAAAAGACAUCGUGGACCAAAGAGGAAACUGAUGACACAGAGACAGAAGAAGACAGAGAAGGUCACUUCUGGUAUGAAACAAUCCUCAUCUUCUGUGUCUGAAUUGAACAGCUGGGCAACAGCUUUUGAACAGCUUUCGUCAUUAAACAUGCCGGGUUCCCUCUCAUCAUGGUUGAUCACUGCCAG